rnacentral:rRNA from 1 species
UACGAAGGGGGCUAGCGUUGCUCGGAAUCACUGGGCGUAAAGGGUGCGUAGGCGGAUUGCUAAGUCAGGGGUGAAAUCCUGGAGCUCAACUCCAGAACUGCCUUUGAUACUGGCGACCUUGAGUCCGGGAGAGGUGAGUGGAACUGCGAGUGUAGAGGUGAAAUUCGUAGAUAUUCGCAAGGACACCAGUGGCGAAGGCGGCUCACUGGCCCGGUACUGACGCUGAGGUGCGAAAGCGUGGGGAGCAAACAGG